UGGAGUAACAGUGUAUAUAGAUAAACUUGUCCACCUACAUAUUAUAAGGUAAUUAGUCAGUGUUUUGGUAAGCAGACUCUAUAAAAUAUUAUAAAUUCUUACGAUCAACAACUAAAGGCAAUGCAAGGAGUCACCUGAAGUGUACGCAGAUAUAUACAACUCAUUGGAAAAUUGAGAGAGAUGUUCUGUUUCCUGCCCAUUUUUUCCUUAAAACCAUCAUCACAAAAGUACUUAAUUAAAUGAAUGAAUCGGAGUAACAAAAACAGCAGCCCCGGGUUCACUCAUCAUGGAGGCACCUGAAUACAUUAAGGAUCCCCGUACCGCUGCCAAAAUCUGUAACUAAGUAUUGGAAACUGUUUUUCUGACAUUAUAGCUUUGAUAAAUUACUUCUUAAAAGAAAACCCUACAUGCGGGACUUUUAUGAGAAGUUAUCAAGAUGAAAUGAAAAAUAUGUUAUCAAAAACAGUGUUUUGGUAAAAUGAAAAUGUAAGCUAGACCUGUAUUUGAACUCCGAAUUUCAGACUAGUAUUGAGUGAGCUACCUGGUUAACAGAUCAAGGUCUCCUGGCCCAAAUAUUUUACAGUUAUAUAGCCAGAUGGUAGUUAAAGGGAAGUCACAUGCAUUAUAGGAAAAAUCACCGUACAGUGGGACAGGGAUCCUUAAUAUUGGUGUCCACAUAUAGGGACCUGCAUGACACUGUGUAUGAUAAUCCCCUAUAGUUGACUAAACUAAUUAUAACCUUGCACUCUGCACAAGUAAUGGUUGUACAUAUAUACUCCCACUGGGGAUAAUGGCUAAUAUCUGGACCUCAGAGAAGACUUUUUAACAAGUUCUUUUCAUUAUAGGGGCACACAUUGAAAGUCACUGCAAUGAUUAUGAACCAGUGUCGCUAGUUACGGACUUGGCUAGAAUCAAUUUACCUCCUGAUUAAAUUUUGUUCACAUUUUGACAUUUCCAUGAAAUUGCACUUUAAUAUAAGGUGGCCACAGAGUGGCCCUUAGCGCUAGCGAUAAUCAUCAGUGCAAACGAUCUACUGAUGAUCGCAGCUGCUGGAAACAAGAAAACCAGGAAACAACUAAUCCUACACACCUGUACAUAUAUGAUGUAUCAUCAUAUUGGCAGGUCCAUAUACAUUUUGUAUGUGUCAACUUCAACAAGUUAUAUGUGUACCCGCAUCUCAGACCAAAACAUAGUUGACAUUAUCACUUAUAAUAUCAGAGGUCAGAUGACAUUUUCUCUUAAGUUUGUACGGUCAAAACAAGUGUCAAAUAGCUAUGUCCCUGUACAACCAACAGUCAGAAAUUAUUUUAGGGGAUCAAAAAUCUCCUGAAAGCCCCAUACAUGUAAAACACAACAGUCCAUUGACGACAAGGGCUACGUCAAAAUCUCAAUACGUUUUCGAUAAUUGCAUGAUACAGUAUGACAUACAAAGCAUAUAUAUAUAAAAAGGCUACCGACUGAUACAAGGAAACAGUGUGAACAUGAUUGUGUAACUACUGUACUGAGCAGUUCCUUAUUUUGUCAAUAUUGACAUGGUGUUUCUUGGACAAAUGAACAACCUAGAUGACUCCAUGCGACCCUAUCACAUUU
rnacentral:lncRNA from 1 species